AAUAGCAGUUGGUGUGAUUGAGUAAUUCGGCUAGCUACCAGAUUAUUUUGGGCUAAAUUGAUUGAUUAUUAUGAUCCAGUGAAAUACAUAAUGUAUCUCUUUUAAAAUAAAUCAAACUUUUGUUGUCUAAUUUAUAAUCUAUAACAGUGGUUCUUAACCUGUGUUCGAUCGAACCCCAGGGGUUCAGUGAGACACACUAAGGGCUUCGGCAAGCCCCCUGCAUCCAUUGACCAAGGAACCCUGUAAGCAGGACUGGGCACGCACAAACAUUAAUUCAAAUACGCGUGCAACAUGGGUCCAUUGAAAAAGAAAACAAUGCAACGUGUUUGGUAAGAUAAUAAUGUUGUGCUCCAGGGUGUAGAACAGGCUAUGACAACGAGCCACAACAGUCUGGUGUUACUAUCCAUCUGUAGCCAAACAAAGAGAGAAACUCCGGACUUGAUACCACUUUGCUGAGAGCCAUUCCACGAGAAACAGAUCCGAAGAAGACAAAUUAAGCACCAUCCAUAAGUACAAAGCUGUGUUCCCUGCAUUUCAACGAAUCUGAUUUCAUCUGUGAGUCUAGAAGAAUUCAGACCCUUGGCAAGGCUCUAAAGAAGAGGUGUCUUAAACCAGAUGUAAUACCAUCCCUAUUGCCAAACUGCCCCAACUACCUCUCAACUCUUAAAGCUUUAUCAAGGCCAACUCAAGCUGAGCCCACGUAACGUAGGCUUCAACAGUUCAAUGAAAUGAGUUCUAUGGAAGUACGUGGUGACAAAUUGGCCAAGGAGACACUCCCAUCAAACUUCAUCCUCAUCACAAAACCAAGCGCUGCCCUUUUGAAGCUAUUCCAUGAUGAGAAAAUGCGACCCCAAGUAGUAACGACCAUCCAGUUUGAGACAGAUAUAUCAUUCAAAAUGUACCACUCUGGUGUGUUGAUUAACAAAAAGGCAGUGUCACACAUAACCUCAGAAGGCAAGAUUAACAGUGUGAUUCAAGCCAUCAAUUUGGCUUCCUUUCUGGGAAGUUCCUCGGCAUGUUCCAGUCUGAUCCCAUCGAAAGAUGGUUCGGCUGGUACAAACAACUAAGUGGAGGUAUCUACUACAUCAGCGUGAGACAGAUCCUGGAAGCAGAGAAAAAUAUUCGAAUUCUGAGUCUUGUCAAAUUCUCAGGUCCGACUACUUCAGACUAAUUAAAGGUCUCCUGGAUGAAGACAUGGUAAAAGCUGAGCUCAUGGAUGCUCUCUACUUAGUUGCCGGGUAUAUUGGUUUUUCUUUGAAGAAAAAGAUCAGCUGUACAUCAUACCAAGAGUUAAUGGUUAUCAGAGACACACCUCCGGACUUAAUAACCUUCGAUAGCCCAAAUAAUCAGCAUGCAGACCUGAAAGAGUUCAUGGACAUAAUGAGCAGAGGGGGGGUUGUCGACACCAUCCUACCUUCUCUACCUCUCCUGUCUUUAUGCUCACUCCAUGUUAUCUUACAUCACAGCUACUCCUGAAGAGAAAGACAGUUUACUUGGCACAACAAAUCAUAUAGCUUCAUUUGUUGCCACAUUCAGUGACAGGAUGCAGGACAGUUUAAACUCUGACAUAAUCGCUGUUGCUGGAGUAAAGUGCAAAAAAAGACACUCCUGGUCAGCUUUUCUUCAAAUAAUUUCAUUUGCUUUGUUUAAGGUCAUGGGUAAAAAUUGAAGUGCUAAACUGAAUGAUGACAUCCGAUUUUUAAGAAAAAAGAGAAUGGCAGCUAAGAAUUCAGAAGCUAAUAGAAAAAAAGCUAAAUUUCAAUCAAAAUCUUCUGACUUGUAGACUUGAACCAACUUUGUACUUUUUGAUUGUGUCUUUUCUCUUUAAUAUGUUCUUAAUGUUUAGUUUGAUUAAAGUACUAAUAAAAUACCACUUCUAUUAGCAA
rnacentral:lncRNA from 1 species